rnacentral:siRNA from 1 species
UGGAAAGGUGUGGCUUAAGUU